rnacentral:rRNA from 1 species
GACGAACGCUGGCGGCGUGCUUAACACAUGCAAGUCGAACGGAAAGGCCCUGCCUUUGUGGGGUGCUCGAGUGGCGAACGGGUGAGUAACACGUGAGUAACCUGCCCUUGACUUUGGGAUAACUUCAGGAAACUGGGGCUAAUACCGGAUAGGAGCUCCUGCUGCAUGGUGGGGGUUGGAAAGUUUCGGCGGUUGGGGAUGGACUCGCGGCUUAUCAGCUUGUUGGUGGGGUAGUGGCUUACCAAGGCUUUGACGGGUAGCCGGCCUGAGAGGGUGACCGGCCACAUUGGGACUGAGAUACGGCCCAGACUCCUACGGGAGGCAGCAGUGGGGAAUAUUGCACAAUGGGCGGAAGCCUGAUGCAGCAACGCCGCGUGCGGGAUGACGGCCUUCAGGUUGUAAACCGCUUUCGCCUGUGACGAAGCGUGAGUGACGGUAAUGGGUAAAGAAGCACCGGCUAACUACGUG